CCUACGGGCGGCUGCAGUGGGGAAUAUCGCACAAUGGGCGCAAGCCUGAUGCAGCCAUGCCGCGUGUGUGAAGAAGGCCUUCGGGUUGUAAAGCACUUUCAGCGGGGAGGAAGGCGGUGAGGUUAAUAACCUCAUCGAUUGACGUUACCCGCAGAAGAAGCACCGGCUAACUCCGUGCCAGCAGCCUCGGUAGUACGGAGGGUGCAAGCGUUAAUCGGAAUUACUGGGCGUAAAGCGCACGCAGGCGGUCUGUCAAGUCGGAUGUGAAAUCCCCGGGCUCAACCUGGGAACUGCAUUCGAAACUGGCAGGCUAGAGGCUUGUAGAGGGGGGUAGAAUUCCAGGUGUAGCGGUGAAAUGCGUAGAGAUCUGGAGGAAUACCGGUGGCGAAGGCGGCCCCCUGGACAAAGACUGACGCUCAGGUGCGAAAGCGUGGGGAGCAAACAGGAUUAGAUACCCUAGUAGUC
rnacentral:rRNA from 1 species